UGGUUUUUCCUAUUGCCUCAGGGGUCCUGGAAGAAGCACCCCAUUCCUGUUUCCCAUCUCCCACCUGGUCCAGCCAAGAGGAAGAAUUCAGGCACGGGGCAGAAGACUCUGGGAAGAAUUCUGGCCUCAAAGGCCUGAUGCAAGUGAAAUAGAAAUCAGCUGACGAUUGACGUUUACUAACUGACUUUCCUUUGUGCACCUAGUACAGCCCAGCAACGUGGUGGAUAGUAAAGGCAAGGCCCCUGCCUUCAAGGAGCAGACCGUACAGCAGAGACAAGGACGUCUGUGGGUAUAACUUUGGAAAGGGUAGGUUUCUGGGUUCUCCCGAAGGCUUCCUGGAGGGGGUGGUCCCCAAGGCUGGCCUGCUGAGAUGCUGAGUGGGUGAUGCCAGCAGCAGUGGUAAGAGAAGGACGUGGAGGGAAAGCUCACGGUGGGUCAUCGGGUGUCGGGGUCUGGGCUCCCGGCAGCUGCAGGUUGUAUGCUGGGGAGGGGCGUUACCUGCCUGCAGCUUCCAGCAGGUCACCCUUCCUAUCUGUGCAGAGAGCCUGUGUCACGUUCCCCGGGCUUGCAGACCAAAUUCUCCAGAAAAAGUACCCGGCCAGGCAAGGCCAAUGUGAAUUUGACCUGCCUUUUAUCAGAAUGUGCCUGCCAUUCUCAAGGUCAAAACUAUUGCCCUCAUGGUCCCUGUGUGUCACCUUAUAAACAGUCUCCCCGGCCCCAGGGCUGCCAAAGUGCUGUGCAAUGUUAUUACACUGCUCUGAAACCCCAUCCAAUGAUCCAGCCACGCUUUCCUCCUCCUGGCUGUGAUGCUGCCUUCCCUGUUGCCCUGGUGCCUGAUGCUGCUAUAUUAAAACAGGCACAGAUGUCUGGCAGACACCGGAGCCUUGCAGGCUGCAACAUGCCAGCCACAUCAAAACACUGGUGGGUGAAGUACUGGGGCCUGCGAGGGGGCAAGGAGAGGUAGACUCCCUGCUCUGGAGAUCAGAGCCAUUCCCGGCAUCAGUAAACUGGGGAAGAUGCAGCCUGGGGGCAGAGGCAGGAGAGGGGGCCUUCCUGCCUCUGGAUCCUUUGCUCAGGGAGCUUUCAUACUCAGGCAUUGUCGUUUGGGGGAUGUGCUCAGGGGAGGGGAACUGAAAGCUGAGGAUGCUGUAACUCACAACCCAGAGUGUCCAGGCUUUCCUCCACCUAUAUUUCCCUGCUAUUACCCCUGAGCUUUUUGUUUUUUUAGAUAGAGCCUUAUUCCAAUACAACGACCAGUCUGCCUCAGUUGAGCUACAGGGUCUAAGUAAAAGGAAACACUGCUUUGUCUCUGUUCCUGGGGCCAGAGUAUAAAAAAUGGAGCCCCUGUCUCCCCAGCCCAAGAUGGUGACAGCAGUGGGAGUCAGCAAGAAGCCCUAAAGGGGCGGGGGAGGGCGCAUCUGGGGAGUCAAGGGUCUGCUGAGCAAGAUGAAGUCGCCCCUGUCCACAUGCGGACGCUCCUCUGAGAGAGGGAACCUUGUCAGCUUGGGCUGUGUGGGGUUUGGGGCUUGUUCAGGAGGCAGCAAAUACCCCCACGGUACAGAGUGAGGAAAGGGAACCGCCGCUCCCUCCCCACACCCUGUGCCCACCGCCUCCUGAGGACCUGAGGGUUUCUAAGAGAAUGGAAUUCAAAAGAGACAGGAGGAAGGGGAGGAGAAGAUCCAGUCCGGCUGCUGUGUCUGGUCCUGGGGAGGAUGCUGGUGCUUGGUAUCCGUCCGCUUCUCAGGCUGGGGUAGCGGAGGUGCUGGAGAGGUGUCUGGUUCAGCAGGUGUCAACGGAAGCUCAGACUUGAGACAAUGCCAAGACCACGGAAAGGAGCUCAGCAGGUUUGCUCUUCCCUGGAGGAGGAGAAAGCCUGCCCUGGAAACAGCUGGUGUGGCUUCAGCUCACUGGGAGAGGAGGCCCAACUAUUUAACUUCUGAUUUGCACCUGUCCCUUUAUCAUGCCCACUGAUCUUCACGUUGAAAGGAGAACAAGUUUAAGAGGAAACGGAAGUUGAGGAGGAGAGGAGGCGGGUGUCACCCGAGAGUGAGAUAGCGUCCCUGCUCUGACCAAGGUCAGGGUCCAGUCUCCGGAGGCCCUCACACCCCACUGGGAGAGGGACAGACUGGAGCCCUCCUAUCCGUGUGUGCACAGGACUGCGCUCAGCCUCUGGGGUUUGUGUGAUGUCCGGGUCAGUGUGUGGAGCUGGUGUCAAGGCCUUUUAUGCUGUGGCCAUUCCCAGCUGAUGGCCCUCUCCUUCGUCUUACUCUGUCCAGCUAGGUCGAGCGGCACCUCGGAGGUGGGAUUUGUCCUCAUGGGCAGUUCUGCAGCUCUGUCCCUGAUCCCUACCCAGAUCCAGCCCAUAUUCUAAGCCUCAGGCUCCCCAGGAUUGGCUGGGCUCAGAGGUCCCCAGACACAGUCCAUUCCCAAGGCCCCAUGUUUCUCCAUCCUCCCGAGAGGGGCUCUGCCUACUCAGAACUCACUCCUCGACUCCCCUCUGGACUCUUACAUGUACUUCAGCAGCUCACACAGGGGUGACUCUCUGACCUCUGAUCCCUAGAGAAAAAGAAUGCCUGAUCCCCAGGGCGGACACACAUGGCAAGCCUGGCACGGAACGUGGGUUCAGUAUGGCGGGUCCUCCAGGGAAACAACAUCCUUCACGUCUCUGUUUCUUUUUCAGGGCUAAAGGGAGACUGGGAGCCUGGCAGCAUUUGGGAGGAAUUUGCUGAAUUAUGGAUAAAGAGGGAACAGAUCAAUUACUCACCAUCCACUGAGUACAAGACGCAAGGCCCUAAGGAGGGAAGGAAUUAAACACCCUUAGGAGUCUUACUAGUCUUCUCAAAUGGCACGUUACCCAUGCUUCCCAUCUCGAGGUCCAGAUGAUGUAGCUGGAGACCUGGCACAGUAACACACUCUGAGAAUUUGUCACCUCUGCUGGCUCCCCUGCCUGGCUGGGCGAGGGGACAGGGACACUGUGGCAGGGUCUGGUAGCUGCCCACACCCUCUGACCCAUGACCUGUCAGGAGACUGCAGCCUUGCUCUCUGGAAAUUCUGAAAGGGCCCUCAGCUACCCUGGAUGCCCAUGUGUGCACUGACUGCGCUGAGACCCAGGGAAGGAAAAAGAGCCACUGCUGAUUCAGUGAAGUACAUCUGGGCUCCCAUGAUGCGGCAGGAAAGCACUUCUCCAAAGGAAGGUGUCUGAGGCACCAAAAUGGCAAAGGAAGGAAGUGGAUUCUUGGAGAUAUGGGGCUGGCCAAAAAGUUUGUUCCGGGUUUCCUAUAAGAUGAUCCCAGCUCCACCAGAACCGGCUGAAGCUCAGAAGGCUGUGGACAUGCUUUUUCCAGCCCCAGCUCCAUCUAGACGUGGGAAGACCGAGAGUACACAGAAAGCUCCCCUGCCUACUGGUGAGCUGAGCACGGCGGGGUGGA